rnacentral:rRNA from 1 species
CGGUGAAUACGUUCCCGGACCUUGCACACACCGCCCGUCAAGCCAUGGAAGCUGGGUGUACCUAAAGUCGGUAACCGCAAGGAGCCGCCUAGGGUAAAACUAGUAACUGGGGGCU